rnacentral:rRNA from 1 species
GAAAGUAAUAAAGAGCGUAUGGGGGAUGCCUAGGCUCUUGGAGGCGAAGAAGGACGUGGUAAGCUGCGAAAAGUCGCGGGGAUUUGCAAACGAGAAUUGAUCCGCGAAUAUCCGAAUGGGACAACCCGGCAGGCAGAAGGCCUGUCACCCAGCAAUGGGGGCUAACCCUCUGAACUGAAACAUCUAAGUAGGAGGAGGAGAAGAAAGAAACAUCGAUUUCCAAAGUAGCGGCGAGCGAAAUGGAAGGAGCCCAAACCGGUAUUGUUACGGCAAUGCCGGGGUUAUAGGACUGCGAGAUUCGAAGGACAAAGAACUGGAAAGAUUUGGAAAAGUCGACCAUAGAGAGUGAAAGUCUCGUACAGGUAAUUGAGUUCAAAGAUAGCAGUAUCCUGAGUAUGGCGGGACACGAGGAAUCCAGUCAGAAUUUGCCGGGACCACCCGGUAAGGCUAAAUACUCCCAAGAGACCGAUAGUGAACCAGUACUGUGAAGGAAAGGUGAAAAGAACCCCGAACAGGGGAGUGAAAAAGAACCUGAAACCAUACGCUUACAACCUGUCGGAGCGGCUUCGUGCCGUGACGGCGUGCCUAUUGAAUAAUGAGCCUACGAGUUACUAAUCACUGGCGAGGUUAAGUGCUAGGAAGCACGGAGCCGAAGCGAAAGCGAGUCUGAACAGGGCGUUUAGUCAGUGGUUGUAGACGCGAAACCUUGCGAUCUACCCUUGAGCAGGAUGAAGGUUGGGUAAAGCCAACUGGAGGUCCGAACGAAUAAGCGUUGAAAAGCUUCUCGAUGACUUGAGGGUAGGAGUGAAAGGCCAAUCAAGCUGGGAAAUAGCUCGUACUCCCCGAAAUGCCUUUAGGGGCAGCGUUGUAAUAAAGAGUCUACUGGAGGUAGAGCUACUGAUUGGAUGCGGGGGCUUCACCGCCUACCAAAUCCCGACAAACUCCGAAUGCCAGUAGUAUGAUUUACAGCAGUGAGCCACCGGGUGCUAAUGUCCGGUGACAAAAGAGGAACAACUCAGACCAGCAACUAAGGUCCCCAAGCGUAUGCUAAGUUGAACUAACGAUGUUUUGUUGCAUAGACAGCUAGGAUGUUAGCUUGGAAGCAGCUAUUCAUUCAAAGAGUGCGUAACAGCUCACUAGUCGAGCGACAAAGCGUGGAUAAUAAACGGGCAUCAAGCAUACCACCGAAGUUCUGGGCGCGAAAGCGCGGUAGGGGAGCAUUCCAUUCAGCGUCGAAGCAGCGUCGUGAGAUGUUGUGGAGCGUAUGGAAAAGCAAAUGUAGGCAUGAGUAACGAUAAUGCGGGAGAGUAACCCGCACACCGCAAGACCAAGGUUUCCUGAUCAACGCUAAUCGGAUCAGGGUUAGUCGGGUCCUAAGGGUAAGCCGAACGGCGAUCUCGAUGGAUAAUCGGUUAAUAUUCCGAUACUGACAUAUACCUCGAUGGAGAGACGAAAUCGCGUAAGUACCGCCUCCUGACGGAAUAGGAGGUUAAAGGGCGUAUGUAUAGGGGCAGAUUAAGAGUCAGUCCUUGCUGAAACCCGACAGUACAGAGAGCCUACGGGCAAUUUGAUAGUGUACCCAAGCAUGUUUCCGAGAAAAUCUUCUAAGUUAUAGUAUAUGUCACCCGUACCGUAAACCGACACAGGUGGUCGAGGAGAGUAUCCUAAGGUGCUCGAGUGAAUCACGGUUAAGGAACUAGGCAAAUUAACCCCGUAACUUCGGGAAAAGGGGUCCCUACGCGAGUAGGGCGCAGCGAAGAGGUCCAGGCGACUGUUUAUCAAAAACACAGGGCUCUGCAAAUUCGAAAGAAGAAGUAUAGGGCCUGACACCUGCCCGGUGCUGGAAGGUUAAGAGGGGAUGUCAUCGCAAGAGAAGCAUUGAAUCGAAGCCCCAGUAAACGGCGGCCGUAACUAUAACGGUCCUAAGGUAGCGAAAUUCCUUGUCGGGUAAGUUCCGACCUGCACGAAUGGUGUAACGAUCUGGACACUGUCUCAACCGUGAGCUCGGUGAAAUUGUAGUCCCGGUGA